rnacentral:lncRNA from 1 species
CCUUAUCUCUUUCAUUUCUCCAAUAGCAAUCAACAAUAAGCCAGCCGAAGUGGUGGAAAUGUCUGCACAGUUGCGAGGUGGUGUUAUUGGAUGCUACUACCCUGAAGAAUAUGGGCAUACCGUUCUACCGAUGCCCAUAUUGGCAGUAUAAAAGGGUCGAUUGUCAGUAUUUCCAAUGGGUUGUAGAGAAGCCGAAUGAGGAGCUGAGUGUCAGGGAAACACACAAAUUGGAGUUCCUUGAACUACGGGAACUAAGGAUCUUUAGAGCGAAACUAGCAUUUGUAGAGAUUAAGAGUAGAUUGUGUUGAUGGAUAUUUCGUUCAUUUUGUUAUUUUUAGCUUGUAAUGAAAAGGCACAAAGAAUGAGAUAUCAUCCAACGUUG